UUAGUCCGUGUAUAAAAAUCAACACAAUGACGUUUUUGGGGCAAUGUAAAAACGAAGAAAAACUAGCUGGUUCUUUCAGGAACUUUACAACAGGACCAAGCCCAUUUCUUGAGCUUGAGUAGUGGGGUUUCAAAGUGAACUCUCCAUGAGCAACGUAGAGCCCAUGUAGCUCUAUAUCCUAUCUAUUGCUGUAAGUUUUAAUCCACUCACGAAGUAAAACCUGGUUCCUGCAUGACUGACUGAUGAGAGAGACCCAUUUCUUCAGAUUCAACUGGACAAAGAGGAAUCACAGACACUGGCUACGGCCCCGACCCCAAACCCCUGCCACGACAACAAAAGCCAGCCAGGCUAGGUCUGAUUGACUCUCAAUGAACAAGGGGCC